CCUACGGGCGGCUGCAGUGAGGAAUAUUGGUCAAUGGACGCAAGUCUGAACCAGCCAUGCCGCGUGCAGGAAGACGGCGCUAUGAGUUGUAAACUGCUUUUGUACGAGGGUAAACGCAGAUACGCGUAUCUGUCUGAAAGUAUCGUACGAAUAAGGAUCGGCUAACUCCGUGCCAGCAGCCGCGGUAAUAAGGAGGAUUCAAGCGUUAUCCGGAUUUAUUGGGUUUAAAGGGUGCGUAGGCGGUCGGAUAAGUUAGAGGUGAAAUCCCGAGGCUCAACUUCGGAAUUGCCUCUGAUACUGUUCGGCUAGAGAGUAGUUGCGGUAGGCAGAAUGUAUGGUGUAGCGGUGAAAUGCUUAGAGAUCAUACAGAACACCGAUUGCGAAGGCAGCUUACCAAGCUACUUCUGACGUUGAGGCACGAAAGCGUGGGUAUCGAACAGGAUUAGAUACCCGGGUAGUC
rnacentral:rRNA from 1 species